AUGGCUCUUCAGGCGGCCACUUCCUUCCUCCCGUCGGCCCUCUCCGCGCGCAAGGAGGGAGCGGCCAAGGACUCUGCCUUCUUCCGCGUUUGUCUCGCCGAUGGCCUCAAAUUCGACACCACCUCCCUCGGCCUGCGCACCAAGACUGUGGAACGUGCUCUGUUAGUCGCCGCUCGUUCUGACCGACAUGCGUGUCACGAACCUACACAGAGGGUGAACACGUCGUCGGUGGCCAUCCGCGCGCAGGCCGCGGCGGUGUCCGCGCCGACCGCGACCCCGGCGUCGCCGUCCGGCAAGAAGACCGUCCGCACGGGCAACGCGAUCAUCACGGGCGCGUCGUCGGGCCUCGGCCUCGCCACGGCCAAGGCCCUGGCGGAGUCAGGCAAGUGGCACGUCAUCAUGGCGUGCCGCGACUACCUCAAGACCGCGCGCGCGGCCAGGGCGGCCGGCAUGCCCAAGGGCAGCUACACCAUCGUGCACCUGGACCUGGCCUCCCUCGACAGCGUCCGCCAGUUCGUCAAGAACGUGCGCCAGCUCGACAUGCCCAUCGACGUCGUUGUCUGCAACGCCGCCGUGUACCAGCCCACCGCCAAGGAGCCUUCCUUCACCGCGGACGGCUUCGAGAUGAGCGUCGGCGUCAACCACCUCGGCCACUUCCUCCUCGCCCGCGAGCUCCUCGAGGACCUCAAGGCCUCCGACUACCCCUCCAAGCGCCUCAUCAUCGUCGGCUCCAUCACCGGGAACACGAACACGCUUGCCGGGAACGUGCCGCCGAAGGCGAACCUGGGGGACCUGAGGGGCCUGGCGGCCGGGCUGAACGGCGUGGGCAGUGCUGCCAUGAUUGACGGCGCGGAGUUCGACGGCGCCAAGGCGUACAAGGACAGCAAGGUGUGCAACAUGCUGACCAUGCAGGAAUUCCACCGGCGGUACCACGAGGAGACCGGCGUGACCUUCGCGUCGCUCUACCCGGGGUGCAUCGCCACCACGGGGCUCUUCCGUGAGCACAUCCCGCUGUUCCGCCUCCUCUUCCCGCCUUUCCAGAAGUACAUCACCAAGGGAUACGUGUCUGAGGAGGAGGCCGGCAAGAGGUUGGCGCAGGUCGUCAGCGAGCCCAGCCUCACCAAGUCCGGCGUCUACUGGAGCUGGAACAAGAACUCGGCGUCCUUCGAGAACCAGCUCUCCGAGGAGGCCAGCGACACUGAGAAGGCCAGGAAGGUAUGGGAGCUCAGCGAGAAGCUCGUCGGACUCGCAUGA
rnacentral:rRNA from 1 species